CAAAGAUCAGGAUAUCCCAUGCCCCAUGAUUCAGCAUGACCAGGGACAUCAAUUUCUGCCAUUACAUUGAUGCCUCUUAACUUGGCAAAGUUUACAAUUUCAUAGGCAUCCUCCACUGUGUACCGCUCCCACUUUGUAUAUGAACCUUCCCACAAUUUUGGAUAUGUUGGUAUUUCUAUAGGAAAUGACUGCUCAUCUAUAAUGUGCCAAUGAAGGACAUUAAGUUUAGCAUAUGACAUGGAUUCAAUUAUCUGCUUAAUGACAGUUAUUGGUAAAUAAUGCCUCGAUGUAUCAAGCAAAAGCCCACGAUACGAAAAUCUUGGUUUGUCUUGAAUGUACCAUGGUGCCUUGUAGAUUUGUACAGAUUUAGUUCCAUAAUCAAACAUACAUAGUUGGCUGAAGGUCUCCAACCCUCUCAGUGCACCAUAGACAGUAUUUGCCUCAAUGGUCGCUUCCGCAAUAAUUGACUGCCCAUCAUUCUUAUCCACGAAUAACGAAUAACUCUCAUCCACUCCAAGCUGAAGCUCCUCACUACGAGAAUGAACCUCAAUUUUCAAUUUACUGAUAUCAUAAGCCGGUCUUAUAUAUCUAAACAUUUGAAAAAUAGAAAAACUCUCCCCAUGCUUGAAGAUAAUCCUCUUGUAUCUGUCAAACGCAUCUUUGAUGAUUGAGGAAUUGCCUCCGUCGCCGCUGACAACAAGCGAAAGGGCAGGGUCAACGGAUAGGGUGUGAUCGCCGGAACUGAACUCCGAUGGCAGCGGCCAGACAUAAGUGAGCGUGUCAUCCAGUUGAAAGGCGAAACUCAGCCUUAGGAUUGCCAAGAUUGCGAGAAUUAUCAGAGAUUUCAGUAAACCAGGGGACAUAGUGGAGCGAAAACAGCUAGAGAGAGAGAGAGAGAGAGGAGCUGAUGAAUUAUUAG
rnacentral:misc_RNA from 1 species